rnacentral:lncRNA from 1 species
GUGGGGUAGGACUCUGAACUUCAAGCACUGGAGUUUGCCGGGAUCGUGAACUUGCAGGGAGAGGCGGUCCUCAUCCAGUGAGGUACUAACAGUCUAAGCAGAAAAAGAAGAACAGAUGGUGGUAAGACCUAGAAUGUUUACCCCAUUAAGAUCUAUAUCUGAAUCCAGAAGGAACACCUCAUUGCCGAGAAGAGCCCUGCAGACAGUUCACACCUCUGUUUCUUUUGCAAGAUAUAGCUACCUCAAAAAAUCCUUUCUUGAUCAAACUCUUAUGGCCUGGAAUCCUUGCGUUUCUGCUGAUGACUGUCAUUUUAGAGUACUUACUAAAGACAAUGGUUGGGGAAAUAGAUAUUUUAAAAAUAAGGGAAAAAGUGGGUAGGGUAAACCCAGGCUUACUUAUGUAAACUCUGAGUGCUGAAGUUAGAAGACAACCUUUAAGAUUAAAAAAAAAAAAAAAAAAAAGAUUUCUGGUAGCCGCCA